ACCUAACCCAAACCAACCAAAACGGGUUAAUCUCGGUCAGUGCAAAAUGGCUUCCUGCGCACGAAUUUUGGAAAAAGCGAAUGGACGCUCAGAAAUUAUUGAAAUUUUGUAUGGACGUCAUGCCACAGUUUUCAGGAGCAGAAACAAGCAAAUCCCCUCGUUGACCCAGUCGGAGCAGCACCAGCAAAGUUUUAUCACUGGCAAGAAAACUGUUUCCGGUUGAGAAAACCAUCCACUUAAUGGUGGAUAAACACCAGCACAUGGCUUAGUCGCCAGUCCCCCUUCCUCGCACCAUCCUGACCCUCGAAGCGUCAACCGUCUUCCGGAACACGAAUCUUCUGAAUAAGGACGCUGUGUGUUAGGUUAGGUAUGUUUGUAAGAACAUGACACCUGAGUCUGACGCAGUGCGGACCUCCUAUCGGAACCCCUCACAAUAACAGAUAAGACUGUUCGCCUGCAAACAUUAGAAGUCCUGGAAUAACAGAUCAGCCGAGAGACUUCCAUCGAAGCAAGCAGUGUCGAUAGGCAGUAUCGAUCGAUCUCUAUGGAUUACAGCCUUAAAGCGUUUCUUAUAGUAUUUUUUUAUUUAAACAGGAACCUACGAUCAAACUACAAAUGUGAUCUACUCAAUUAGCAGGGCUAAACCUUCACUACAGAACUUGUAAUCCAGAAACAUCUACUCCAAUAGUUAAAGCUUCAAUAAAUGUCUUCUUUUCACGUGUGGCUAUUCAAAGCGAACAAAGUGAAAGGAUUGUAGAGGA